rnacentral:rRNA from 1 species
UACAUGGGGUGCAAACGUUGCUCGGAAUUAUUGGGCGUAAAGCGCACGUAGGCGGUUCGUUAAGUCGGAUGUGAAAGCCCUCGGCUCAACUGAGGAAGUGCACCCGAAACUGGCGAGCUUGAGUACGAAAGAGGAUCGCGGAAUUCCCGGUGUAGAGGUGAAAUUCGUAGAUAUCGGGAGGAACACCGGUGGCGAAGGCGACACGCUGGGCCGUACCGUGACACUGAUGCGCGACAGCAUGGGGAGCAAACAGG